UACGUAGGGGUCGAGCGUUGUCCGGACUUAUUGGGCGUAAAGAGCGUGUAGGCGGCCAGGUAGGUCUGGUGUGAAAACUCGAGGCUUAACCUCGAGAUGUCAUCGGAAACCAUUUGGCUAGAGUCCGGAAGAGGAGAGUGGAAUUCCUGGUGUAGCGGUGAAAUGCGCAGAUAUCAGGAGGAACACCAGUGGCGAAGGCGGUGCUCUGGGCCGGAACUGACGCUGAUGAGCGAAAGCGUGGGGAGCGAACAGG
rnacentral:rRNA from 1 species